CUCCGCCACUCGUCGUCUUCCCCGUCGGUUCCCGGCCCCGCUCCGCCGCGGCGCGAGGUCUAUGUGACCGGCGGGCCGGGAGCAGCCACCGCCGCAACGCGAACAUGGACGCCGUCAACGCCUUCAACCAGGAGGGUCUCGCCAACUAGUUCCAGCUGGCCUUGAACUCACUAUAUAGCCUAGGCUGGCCUCGAACUCAUGUCAGUCCUGCCUGGGCCUCCCAAGUGCUGGAUUACAGACAUGGUCUUAUAAAGUUACCCAGGCUGGCCUCAAACUUUUGAUUCUCCUGCCUCAGCCUCCUGAGUAGCUGGGAUUACAGUUUGUUUCAGAAAAAGUCACCUUGAACACAUGACAAAGAAUCAACUCAGGAAGAAAUUAGAAUAAUG
rnacentral:lncRNA from 1 species